CGCACCUUGCGCUCCUUGGUAUUCCGAGGAGCAUGCCUGUUUGAGUGUCUUGAAGUCAUCAACCCCAACCUUUCGUCUCGAGAGGUCGGGGUUGGAUCUUGGGGGCUUUGCCGCCGUCAAAGGCCGGCUCCCCUCAAAUGUGUCGGUUGGGCCUCUGGGUCAAACUCGACUGGGCGUUGUACCAUCCUCGCUCUGGAGAGAACCCGCGUGCCCCUUCCUCGACCCUGCCCCUGCUGUGGGCGGGUCAAUUGACCUUUUGAAAUCUGACCUCAAAUCAGGCAGGACUACCCGCUGAACUUAA
rnacentral:misc_RNA from 1 species